rnacentral:rRNA from 1 species
GCAGAUCUUGGUUGGCGUAGCAAAGAUCUAACGGAAUUACUUUUACAUUCAACGUUGGAUGCUGGAGCGGGGAAGGAUUUCGUGCCAAGGUCAAUCGUACACGAGUUAUUCGGAAACUGAGCACAACGUUACAUCGUUUUGUUAGGAAAGUGAAGGCGAGCCGACUGGACUCCUCGGAGUCCUUUUCGGUCUGUCUGAAAAGGGGCAACAGAGAACC